rnacentral:piRNA from 3 species
CGGGGUUUCGUACGUAGCAGAGC